CCCUUAGAUGUUCUGGGCUGCACGCGCGCUACACUGACGCACGCAACAGGUGCCUGCUCCGAGAGGACUGGGCAAUCAUUUGAGUGUGCGUCGUGAUGGGGAUAGAAUAUUGUAAUUAUUACUCUUCAACGAGGAAUUCCUAGUAAGCGCCAGUCAGCAGCUUGCGCUGAUUACGUCCCUGCCCUUUGUACACACCGCCCGUCGCUCCUACCGAUGGGUGAUCCGGUGAAUGAUUCGGACUUCAGCGGCUCCCCUGGGGUGCGCCGGAGAAAGUUUUGUGAACCUUAUCACUUGGAGGAAGGAGAAGUCGUAACA
rnacentral:rRNA from 1 species